AUAAACGCUGGCGGCGUGCCUUAUGCAUGCAAGUCGGACGGUUUCGAUUUAUCGAAGCAGUGGCGAACGGGUGCGUAAUACGUAAGUAACCUGCCCCUAAGUGGGGAAUAACUCUGAGAAAUCGGAGCUAAUACCGCAUGUGGUGAUGGGGGUAAAGCCCUAUCACUAAAGCCUUCGGGCGCUUGGGGAGGGGCUUGCGUCCGAUUAGCUAGUUGGGAGGGUAACGGCCUACCAAGGCGACGAUCGGUAGCUGGUCUGAGAGGACGACCAGCCACACUGGGACUGAGACACGGCCCAGACUCCUACGGGAGGCAGCAGCAAGGAAUAUUGCGCAAUGGGCGAAAGCCUGACGCAGCGACGCCGCGUGGAGGAUGAAGAUCUUCGGGUUGUAAACUCCUUUUCCCGGGGACGAAUAAUGACGGUACCCGGGGAAUAAGUCUCGGCUAACUACGU
rnacentral:rRNA from 1 species